rnacentral:rRNA from 1 species
AUUGAACGCUGGCGGCAGGCCUAACACAUGCAAGUCGAACGAGGGGCGGACGGGUGAGUAAUGUAUGGGAAACUGCCUGAUGGAGGGGGAUAACUACUGGAAACGGUAGCUAAUACAGCAUCCCAUCAGCUGGGCCCAGAUGGGAUUAGCUUGUUGGUGGGGUAACGGCUCACCAGGGCUAAGAACCCUAGCUGGUCUGAGAGGAUGACCAGGCACACGGGAACUGAGACACGGUCCAGACUCCUACGGGAGGAAGCAGUGGGGAAGAUUGCACAAUGGGCGCAAGCCUGAUGCAGCCAUGCCGCGUGUAUGAAGAAGGCCUUCGGGUUGUAAAGUACUUUCAGCGGGGAGGCGUUACCCGCAGAAGAAGCACCGGCUAACUCCGUGCCAGCCGCCGCGGUAAUAC